rnacentral:lncRNA from 1 species
UAUUAAGCUUUAAUACCGUGAUAGGAAAUAGGGUGAGGGGUCCUUACUUAUUUUGGGUCUGAAAUCGACUCUACAGUGCGCCUACGGACUGUCCCUAAUUUCUCUGAAUUUUUUUCAGAAAACUGAAAUGCACUACCGGUACCUGCACGUAUCCCAAAAAAUCCCAAAUCAGACUUAAGGUCCCUUUCGGCCAAUAUCGAAAUUCCAGCAUGGCGGUGAUCCGCCUCGAGUUGGCCGUUUUCAGUCGAAUUCGGCCAAACUUGCAUCGAUCCCUACGAUAAAACAACCUUAGAGCCCUCGGUGGGCCAAAAAAAUCACAAAAAACUGAGACUUACUAGCGGCGGUGCUCUCGGGUGCGGCGGCUCCUCCGGCGUGGGUCGCGUUUUGAUGUUUGGCUCCGAUCAACCUGUAGAGAAAAGAACAGUGAUCACAGUGGUAUAAAAUUUGCAUCGAACGGAGGCCGGGAAGGGCCUCAUCGGAGGCAAAAACAGAGGGG